ACAUUAGCCACACAGAUGUGGGGGGAGAUGUCCAUAGGGAGAGAGAAGGUGCUAAGAGGUGCAAUAUGGGAAUGUGGCUUGGGCAAAGCACUGAUGCCAUCAACUUCAGACUUGACGUCUUACUCCUGAGGCAGAGCAGGGUGUUCCUGUGGAGGGCGUGGGAAGGUGGCCCGUGGGGAGUGGACUGCCGCUUUAAUCCCUUCAGCUGCCUUUCCGCUGUUUUGAUUUUUCUAGAGAGGAACAUAAAAAGCAUUCGUCCGGUUGCGCUUUCCUUUCUGUCAAGAAGCAGUUUGAAGAAUUAACCCUUGGUGAAUUUUUGAAACUGGACAGAGAAAGAGCCAAGAACAAAAUUGCAAAGGAAACCAACAAUAAGAAGAAAGAAUUUGAGGAAACUGCGAAGAAAGUGCGCUGUGCCAUCGAGCAGCUGGCUGCCAUGGAUUGAGGCCUCUGGCUGGAGCUGCCUGGUCCCAGAGUGGCUGCACUACUUCCAGGGUUUAUUCCCUGGUGCCACCAGCCUUCCUGUGGGACCUUUAGCAAUGUCUUAGGAAAGGAAUCAACAUUUUCAAAUUAGAUGUUUCAACUGUACUCUUGUUUUGUCUUGAAAGUGGCACCAGAGGUGCUUCUACCUGUGCAGCGGGUGCUGCUGAUAACAGUGACUGCUUCUCUCUCUCUUUUUUUGGGGGGCUCAUUUUUGCUGUCUUGAUUCCCGGGCAUACCAGGUGAGAAGUGAGGGAGGAAG
rnacentral:sRNA from 1 species